UGAAAUCUGCAGGACAGUAGCUCUCCAGGAGCAGGGUUGGAGACCCCUGCUUUAGAGGAUGUGAGUGUGUCAGAGGCUGCGUAAUGAAGUAUUUCUCAAAGGAAGUCCACCCUCAUCCGUGUCCCUCUUACCCACACGUCUCACUCCUGCAAUUACAGAUCAUAAAUGAAGAAACUUUGGUUAAUUUCAGAGCAGAUUUGGAAUGCCAUGAAGAUGGGCAGAGGAGGAGAGCUGCGUGCUGACAGGUAUCUCUCUCAUCAUGUCUGAAGUCCAGAGGGGAUGUGAAGCUCUGCAAGACACACACUGAAGGAGACUGCGUUGAUUGUUCUGGCAAGUGUUUUGACUCCUCACCUCACUUCACCUGAAAUUAAACCCUGCCAACGAGACAUUUAGAUGCUGAUGUUAGCCAAAUUAGCCUCCUACAGACAUUGACGCUCAUUUAUGGCCUUUCUGCUGAUUAUAAUUUCCCCC
ensembl:lncRNA